UGCUUCCUUAUACACUGUCCAAGCUCCAACAAGGAAAGAACACACUGAAGAGAGAAGAGAAUUUUAAGUGUCAAGCUAACAUUUAAAAACCAAGAAGACACCUGAACAGAAUCUACGUCUUCCAUUUGUUCAACCAGCUUUGGUUAACUCAUCCUUCAGUGAGCCUCUGCAUUCUGUUCAUCAUGGGGAGAGGAGCCAGUGACUUUGAUUGGCAAGAGAAGCACCCAGACACCACACAGUCCCAACCAGAGAAGAGACAACCCAACACAGACUCAGACAAACACCGCUCAGACUCUGACUCAGGAGAGAACGGCUGUAAGAAGUGCUGCAUCAGGACCAGGAACUGUAUCAUGAGUCCUGAGUGUGGCCGGGCGCUACACAUCUCCCAGGUCAUUGCAUGGUGUGGCAUGUGCAUCGGCAUGUGGACAUGUAAGUUUUUGUCCAUUAGUGUUCUGUAUCUUGUCAUGUUUUGUGUGAACCCCAGGAAGAAUAGGUGCUGCUUUUUCAACAGCUAAUGGGGAACCUAAUAAAAAUAAGUUGAAUUAAAUUAGGUUAAUCUUUAUUUUGUCAGGAUAGUCAACUCAGUAACAAUUGUAAAUGUAUAAUGUGUAGAAUUGUCCCUUUAUUGCCCCUUCUAUCCGUGGUAUGUUGGCCACCUUGAAACAAAGAAAGGAACAAUUUCUUGGGGACAUGCUGUGAUUUUUAUUUGAAAAUAAAAUGUAAUAGCUUGACAGA